GACGAACGCUGGCGGCGUGCUUAACACAUGCAAGUCGAACGGAAAGGCCCUGCUUUUGUGGGGUGCUCGAGUGGCGAACGGGUGAGUAACACGUGAGUAACCUGCCCUUGACUUUGGGAUAACUUCAGGAAACUGGGGCUAAUACCGGAUAGGAGCUCCUGCUGCAUGGUGGGGGUUGGAAAGUUUCGGCGGUUGGGGAUGUACUCGCGGCUUAUCAGCUUGUUGGUGGGGUAGUGGCUUACCAAGGCUUUGACGGGUAGCCGGCCUGAGAGGGUGACCGGCCACAUUGGGACUGAGAUACGGCCCAGACUCCUACGGGAGGCAGCAGUGGGGAAUAUUGCACAAUGGGCGGAAGCCUGAUGCAGCAACGCCGCGUGCGGGAUGACGGCCUUCGGGUUGUAAACCGCUUUCGCCUGUGACGAAGCGUGAGUGACGGUAACGGGUAAAGAAGCACCGGCUAACUACGUG
rnacentral:rRNA from 1 species